GUUGAACGCUGGCGGCAGGCCUAACACAUGCAAGUCGAGCGGACGAAGGGAGCUUGCUCCUGGAUUCAGCGGCGGACGGGUGAGUAAUGCCUAGGAAUCUGCCUGGUAGUGGGGGAUAACGUCCGGAAACGGGCGCUAAUACCGCAUACGUCCUGAGGGAGAAAGUGGGGGAUCUUCGGACCUCACGCUAUCAGAUGAGCCUAGGUCGGAUUAGCUAGUUGGUGGGGUAAAGGCCUACCAAGGCGACGAUCCGUAACUGGUCUGAGAGGAUGAUCAGUCACACUGGAACUGAGACACGGUCCAGACUCCUACGGGAGGCAGCAGUGGGGAAUAUUGGACAAUGGGCGAAAGCCUGAUCCAGCCAUGCCGCGUGUGUGAAGAAGGUCUUCGGAUUGUAAAGCACUUUAAGUUGGGAGGAAGGGCAGUAAGUUAAUACCUUGCUGUUUUGACGUUACCAACAGAAUAAGCACCGGCUAACUUCGUG
rnacentral:rRNA from 1 species